rnacentral:tRNA from 1 species
GCGGGCGUGGCGGAACUGGUAGACGCACGAGACUUAAAAUCUUGCGCCUUUAAUGGCUUACGGGUUCGAGUCCCGUCGCCCGUACCA